AUUGGCAGUUUCUCGAUAAAUAUUUAUUACAAAUGUUAAUUGAACCCACUUUAAACCAUUUUUCAAAACACUUUUAAACCAACCAAGCUAUAUAAAACAAACACACAAAUGCCCAAGAUAUCUAGGUUUUCAACACAUUUGAACAGAAAUGUUUAUUUUGAGUAAGAAGAGUGAAUAUAUGAUAAAAAUAGGUUGAAAGAUAAAUCGAAUCGAAAAAAUCGGUGUCGGACUGUCUGAAAUCGAGCUGUGAGUGAAUCGUUGCAGCUCUAUAUACGAACUAUAUGACAACACAUUAGUCUCGUUCUAUAUGUUGCUUUUGAACAUACUUCACUGUACACACUCCAAGUGACACCGGAGGCGAGAAUGGGGGCUGGGGGCGCACCGACGACCACUACUGACGCUACUAGUGCCCCACUCCUGCCCAAUCCUAGGGUGGCGUAAACCAGGGUUAGGGGGGCGGCCACUGCCACUACUGCCGCCGCCACUACUAACGCCACUACUGUCAGCCUAAGCAGCCCCACUACUGACACUCACACCGAGCAGAAGGAAGUGUAACCCAGAGCCGGUACUUUCUCGACACCUAGAAGUAAACCUGGGCCGGUAAUUGGACCUCCGCCGACAAAGACAGUUAGCAGUGAGCAACAUUCAUAUGCUUAAAAGAAAACAUGGCAUGCAGUGCAGCCUUAAAAAAGGACAUUUGUGUUAUAUUGUGAACGAUUGUUGAAAACGUAAGUUUGAUGGAAAAAAAGACACCUGCAUUGCUGGUGUUGUUUAUAAUCCCCUGCCAUGGGUAUACUAUUUGCUUUUCUAUCUGUCGGUUACACAAAUUUCAGGGCUAUAUCUAUGACACCAUAUAAGACAUAAACAACACCAUAUAAGAUAUAAACAUGAAACUUCAUGGUUGUAUAGAUAUUGAUUGGGAGAAUGUUCAUGUACAAGAACCCUUCACUUUCUUAAAUUAGAGUCAUUGCCCUGUUGUUGUUUUUUAAAGAUGUUACCCUUUUAAAGCUAUAUCUCAGAUGCCAAUACAGGAUUUAAACACGAAACUUAAUGGGUGUAUAGUUAUUUAUGAGGAGAAUUGACUUGCAGAAGAAUCAUAAUCCUACAAUGUCUUAAAAAAGUUAUUUACCUUUGUUGUUCGUGUAUCAUUAUACUUUAAAUGGGUUAUAUCUCAGAUAGCUACAAGAUCUCAACAUUACAAUUUGUGGGUAUAUAGAUAUAAAUAAGGAGAAUUGCAAUUCAUAAACAAGAUGGCCCUAGUUUCCUCACAUUUUUUUUACAAGGCCUUGUUUAUUGCUUACCGGUAGUUGAAAAUUCGGUACUCUAGUGCAUAUCUACUUCUGUUUACUUUUGCAGUGUGAGCAUAUGAUUAAUUCUGAUUGAGUACUGUUCAUUUGCAUGUUUUUUUUGCAAUGCAAACAUUUUCAAGUAAUGCUAAUUCUACAUGUGUUUACAAGGUUUUUGUAAGAUUUGAAAGAUUUAAAAUACGAAGCUGUAAUUUACUUUUAUUAAAUAGGUAUUGUAUUUGCUGAUUAUUUUAUUUUUUGUCAACCAACACAUGCUUAUGUAUUAAGUAUUGAUUGUGUACGGGGUGACUCUCAAUGAAAAAGUGGUGCUUUAUUACAGUAAGAAUUACAUGCAAUUAAUGUGUAUCGUUUCCGUAAUAGUUAAAAUGGUUAAAAAUGUUAACUUAAAUAUAUUUUAGGUUUUGAUAGAUAUUACGUAAUGUUUACAUGUUUUAUUUACCGAAAUGUUGCUGUUAAUUGUAUUUGUAGUUGCAUACUACGUUUAUAUUACAUUUUCGACGUUGUAACGAUGAAUAUUGUUGUAUUUUUUUUAAUACCUAUGUAGUCAAAAUGUAUAUUGUGUAAAUAAUUGGCACUUCAAUUAUCGACUCAGUUAGUUUGCAUAUGCAAUACCAGUGUUUGUCU